AACGCUGGCGGCGUGCCUAAUACAUGCAAGUCGAACGGUCUUUCUAUGGAAGCUUGCUUCACUGAGAAGGAUAGUGGCGAACGGGUGAGUAACACGUGGGUAACCUGCCCCAUAAGAGGGGGAUAACAAUCCGGAAACGGGUGCUAAUACCGCAUAGUUUCUUGAUCGCAUGAUCGGGAAAGGAAAGACGGCCUUUGUGCUGUCGCUUAUGGAUGGACCCGCGGCGUAUUAGUUAGUUGGUGAGGUAACGGCUCACCAAGACGAUGAUACGUAGCCGACCUGAGAGGGUGAUCGGCCACAUUGGGACUGAGACACGGCCCAAACUCCUACGGGAGGCAGCAGUAGGGAAUCUUCCGCAAUGGACGAAAGUCUGACGGAGCAACGCCGCGUGAGUGAAGAAGGUUUUCGGAUCGUAAAACUCUGUUGUCAGAGAAGAACAAGUUGGAGAGUAACUGCUCCAGCCUUGACGGUAUCUGACCAGAAAGCCACGGCUAACUACGUG
rnacentral:rRNA from 1 species